AACUUUAUAGUUUAUAAAAAACUUAAUCUUUUCAAGAUUACAAAAUAUUUUUUUAAGUUU
rnacentral:tRNA from 1 species